CGUAGGAGUCCGGGUGAAGUUUACCUGCAGUGGAAGUCAGGGACGAAGUCCGGCUCCCGUAGGAGUUCAGACGAAGUCUACCUGCAAUUGAAGUCGGGGACGAAGUCCGACUCCCGUAGGAGUCCGGAUGAAGUCUACCUGCAGUAGAAGUCGGGGACGAAGUCCGGCUCCCGUAGGAGUCUGGGCGAAGUCUUCCUGCGGUCGG
rnacentral:lncRNA from 1 species